rnacentral:lncRNA from 1 species
AUGAGGAUCACUGGGCACUCUGUUUACCCGGGGGCGGGGAACUGGCUUCCAGGAGGCUUAGUGACUGACCGAGGUCUUGAGGUCUCGAGGUCUCGUGCUGGUGAAGUGCAGAGCCAGGAUCCGCCUGAGGCCGCCAGCUGGCUCCAGAUCCCACACUCCUUCCUCGGCACUUCCUCGGUUCUGCACGGUGCCUUAACACUCCCCAAAACACCCAAUUUUGCAGGUGUGGAAACCCACGUCCCGCAGAGGCUGGGUGUUUGCUCCACUCAGUUCUGGGGACUUAGCUUAAGGCUCUCUGAUCUGUUCUCUGUGGCCCGGGCAGGAGCCCCUGUUGACUGGCCCAGUGAAAGCACCCCAGCAGCCGCUACCCAGACAGCAGCUGCAAAGCCAACACACAAAUGCCACAGGUAGGGAAAACAACCCCUGCAGACCUCAAGCCUCUUCCUCCUGCCCAAUACUGUUCUCUAGAUUCAGAAAUAAAAUAAAACCCUUGGGAGAGCAGCAGUCCCGGCCAGCCCUCGGCAGCACCAGGACCAAAGGAUAUGUACAACCAUUAGGUGAGAUAGUUACAUUACAGUCAAACACCAAGAACAUUUACAAAAUCGGCAGACUUGCAAUUAAGAUAAAAAUCUGUGAAGAGUCUGUACACUUUUACAGUUUUUGCACUAGGUAAAUAAGGCUCUCGGCCUGAGAGCUCACCGACCCCUGCAAGGGCAGCUGGCACCGGCCACAGCGGGUGGCCUCCGAGCCCACCUGUCCAGGCCCUGGGAGCCUCCCCAUAUUGCUAAGGGGGCUCUGUCCGAGGUCACUCUACGAGGCAGCGGUGGGAGGGGGCUGGGGAGAGGAGGGCAGGGCUCACUGGGCAGUGGGAGGAUGAGAUCGGAGCCAGGCCCUGCCUGUGUGGUCACCCUGGUCUCAGGCACGAAGGCGCAUGGGUGGGGACAAGACAGGAGUGGGGCAGGAAGGGGUGGGGGCAGGGCCUCUGCUCCUGCCUCCCAUCUUCCUGUGGUCUGUGACCGCUGGUGGCCCAGCCCUCCCUCCACCAGCAUCUGUCUCUAGCCUAACUGAAUUGUAGGUUACAUCUAAGAGCCCCCUUCCCAGAGCAGCUGCUGUCACC